AACGAACGCUGGCGGCAUGCCUAACACAUGCAAGUCGAACGAGACCUUCGGGUCUAGUGGCGCACGGGUGCGUAACGCGUGGGAACCUGCCCUUAGGUUCGGAAUAACUCCCCGAAGGGGGUGCUAAUACCGGAUAAUGUCUUCGGACCAAAGAUUUAUCGCCUUUGGAUGGGCCCGCGUUGGAUUAGCUAGUUGGUAGGGUAAAAGCCUACCAAGGCGACGAUCCAUAGCAGGUCUGAGAGGAUGAUCAGCCACACUGGGACUGAGACACGGCCCAGACUCCUACGGGAGGCAGCAGUGGGGAAUAUUGGACAAUGGGCGAAAGCCUGAUCCAGCAAUGCCGCGUGAGUGAUGAAGGCCUUAGGGUUGUAAAGCUCUUUUACCCGGGAUGAUAAUGACAGUACCGGGAGAAUAAGCUCCGGCUAACUCCGUG
rnacentral:rRNA from 1 species